AUUGAACGCUGGCGGCAUGCCUUACACAUGCAAGUCGAACGGUAACAGGUCUUCGGAUGCUGACGAGUGGCGAACGGGUGAGUAAUACAUCGGAACGUGCCCGAUCGUGGGGGAUAACGGAGCGAAAGCUUUGCUAAUACCGCAUACGAUCUACGGAUGAAAGCAGGGGACCGCAAGGCCUUGCGCGGACGGAGCGGCCGGUGGCAGAUUAGGUAGUUGGUGGGAUAUAAGCUUACCAAGCCGACGAUCUGUAGCUGGUCUGAAAGGACGACCAGCCACACUGGGACUGAGACACGGCCCAGACUCCUACGGGAGGCAGCAGUGGGGAAUUUUGGACAAUGGGCGAAAGCCUGAUCCAGCCAUGCCGCGUGCAGGAUGAAGGCCUUCGGGUUGGAAACUGCUUUUGUACGGAACGAAAAGACUCUUUCUAAUAAAGAGGGUCCAUGACGGUACCGUAAGAAUAAGCACCGGCUAACUACGUG
rnacentral:rRNA from 1 species